rnacentral:rRNA from 1 species
UACGGAGGGUGCAAGCGUUGUUCGGAUUUACUGGGCGUAAAGCGCGUGCAGGCGGUCGGGCAAGUCGGGCAUUAAAUCUCUGGGCUUAACUCAGAGGCGCUGUCCGAUACUGUUCGGCUUGAGGAUGGUAGAGGGCGAUGGAAUUCCGCGUGUAGUGGUGAAAUGCGUAGAUAUGCGGAGGAACACCAGUGGCGAAAGCGGUCGCCUGGACCAAACCUGACGCUAAAGCGCGAAAGCUAGGGUAGCGAACGGG